GAAAUGCGAUAAGUAAUGUGAAUUGCAGAAUUCAGUGAAUCAUCGAAUCUUUGAACGCACAUUGCGCCCGCCAGUAUUCUGGCGGGCAUGCCUGUUCGAGCGUCAUUUCAACCAUCAAGCCCCCGGCUUGUGUUGGGGACCUGCGGCUGCCCGCAGGCCCUGAAAAACAGUGGCGGGCUCGCUGUCACACCGAGCGUAGUAGCAUACAUUCUCGCUCAGGGCGUGCUGCGGGUUCCGGCCGUUAAACGACCUUCAUAACCCAAGGUUGACCUCGGAUCAGGUAGGAAGACCCGCUGCACUUAAGC
rnacentral:misc_RNA from 1 species